rnacentral:rRNA from 1 species
AGAAUCAACGCUGGCGGCGUGCCUAACACAUGCAAGUCGAACGAGAAAGUGGAGCAAUCCAUGAGUAAAGUGGCGCACGGGUGAGUAACACGUGACUAACCUACCCUUGAGUGGGGAAUAACUUCGGGAAACCGAGGCUAAUACCGCAUAACACCUACGGGUCAAAGGAGCAAUUCGCUUAAGGAGGGGGUCGCGGCAGAUUAGUUAGUUGGCGGGGUAAUGGCCCACCAAGACGGUGAUCUGUAUCCGGCCUGAGAGGGCGCACGGACACACUGGAACUGAAACACGGUCCAGACUCCUACGGGAGGCAGCAGUGGGAAUUUGCGCAAUGGGGGAAACCCUGACGCAGCAACGCCGCGUGGAGGAUGAAGUCCCUUGGGACGUAAACUCCUUUCGAUCGGGACGAUUAUGGACGGUACCGGAAGAAGAACGCCCCGGCUAACUUCGUGCCAGCAGCCGC